AGGAUGAACGCUGGCGGCGUGCUUAACACAUGCAAGUCGAACGAUGAUCCCUAGCUUGCUGGGGGGAUUAGUGGCGAACGGGUGAGUAACACGUGAGUAACCUGCCCUUGACUCUGGGAUAAGCCUGGGAAACUGGGUCUAAUACUGGAUACGACCUUCCAUCGCAUGGUGGUUGGUGGAAAGCUUUUGUGGUUUUUGGAUGGACUCGCGGCCUAUCAGCUUGUUGGUGGGGUAAUGGCCUACCAAGGCGACGACGGGUAGCCGGCCUGAGAGGGUGGACGGCCACACUGGGACUGAGACACGGCCCAGACUCCUACGGGAGGCAGCAGUGGGGAAUAUUGCACAAUGGGCGCAAGCCUGAUGCAGCGACGCCGCGUGAGGGAUGAAGGCCUUCGGGUUGUAAACCUCUUUCAGUAGGAAGAAGCGAAAGUGACGUACCUGCAGAAGAAGCGCCGGCUAACUACGUGCCAGCAGCCGC
rnacentral:rRNA from 1 species